UACGUAGGGGCUAGCGUUAUCCGGAAUUACUGGGCGUAAAGGGUGCGUAGGUGGUUUCUUAAGUCAGAGGUGAAAGGCUACGGCUCAACCGUAGUAAGCCUUUGAAACUGGGAAACUUGAGUGCAGGAGAGGAGAGUGGAAUUCCUAGUGUAGCGGUGAAAUGCGUAGAUAUUAGGAGGAACACCAGUAGCGAAGGCGGCUCUCUGGACUGUAACUGACGCUGAGGCACGAAAGCGUGGGGAGCAAACAGGAUUAGAUACCCGGGUAGUCCCUGAGCGGGCU
rnacentral:rRNA from 1 species